rnacentral:rRNA from 1 species
AUUGAACGCUGGCGGCAUGCCUUACACAUGCAAGUCGAACGGUAACAGGCCGCAAGGUGCUGACGAGUGGCGAACGGGUGAGCAAUGCAUUGGAACGUGCCCAGUAGUGGGGGAUAGCCCGGCGAAAGCCGGAUUAAUACCGCAUACGACCUGAGGGUGAAAGGGGGGGAUCGCAAGACCUCUCGCUAUUGGAGCGGCCGGUGUCAGAUUAGCUAGUUUGUGGGGUAAAGGCCUACCAAGGCAACGAUCUGUAGUUGGUCUGAGAGGACGACCAGCCACACUGGGACUGAGACACGGCCCAGACUCCUACGGGAGGCAGCAGUGGGGAAUUUUGGACAAUGGGCGCAAGCCUGAUCCAGCAAUGCCGCGUGCAGGAAGAAGGCCUUCGGGUUGUAAACUGCUUUUGUCAGGGAAGAAAUCUUCUGGGUUAAUACCUCGGGAGGAUGACGGUACCUGAAGAAUAAGCACCGGCUAACUACGUGCCAGCAGCCGCGGUAAAAC